rnacentral:rRNA from 1 species
ACGCUGGCGGCGUGCUUAACACAUGCAAGUCGAACGGAAAGGCCCAGCUUGCUGGGUACUCGAGUGGCGAACGGGUGAGUAACACGUGGGUGAUCUGCCCCAAACUUCGGGAUAAGCCUGGGAAACUGGGUCUAAUACCGGAUAUGACCUGCUCCUGCAUGGGGGUUGGUGGAAAGCUUUUGCGGUUUGGGAUGGGCCCGCGGCCUAUCAGCUUGUUGGUGGGGUAAUGGCCUACCAAGGCGACGACGGGUAGCCGACCUGAGAGGGUGAUCGGCCACACUGGGACUGAGACACGGCCCAGACUCCUACGGGAGGCAGCAGUGGGGAAUAUUGCACAAUGGGCGCAAGCCUGAUGCAGCGACGCCGCGUGAGGGAUGACGGCCUUCGGGUUGUAAACCUCUUUCGCCAGGGACGAAGCGCAAGUGACGGUACCUGGAGAAGAAGCACCGGCCAACUACGUG